rnacentral:tRNA from 1 species
GAAAGAGUAGCUCAAAAGCAGAGCAGUUGACUCUUAAUCAGCGGAUAAAGGUGCAAAUCCUUUCUCUUUUU